rnacentral:misc_RNA from 1 species
CAAAGCAGAGAGAAUUUCGGCUAGCAGAGCCAAAAUAUUGGCAUCAAAACAAACAGUUGCAGCUACAGCUGAGCCAACCGCUGUUCCAUUCACAAGAGCCAAACCUUCCUUCGCUUGUAGCUCGAAUGGAGCCUCAAUUCCUGCUCUCUUCAAAGCUUCAAUAGCUGUAAUCACUUCCUCUUGAGGGGUUUCUACCUUGGAAUUGUGACGGCCAGUUAACAAACCAGCAAUAUAAGACAAUGGCACAAGAUCGCCUGAAGCUGUGAUAGUCCCUCUCAGAGGCAGCUUAGGGAUCAAAUUUUCAUUCAUAAGCUUGGCAAUAGAUUCAAGAAUCUCCCACCGUAUACCAGAAUAACCUUGCAUUAGUGUGUUGGUACGGACGAGCAUAGCUGCCUUGGAAUAACUGGUCGGAAGAUUCUCCUUGCCAAUGACCCCAGCAUUGAGGAACCGAAUGAGCUCUGUCUGAAGGUCACCAGUUUUACUGGUACGCCUAUGAGAAGUGGCACCAAAGCCGGUGGUAACACCAUAAGUGUCAGUCCCACGAGAGAUGUUCACUGCAACCCAAUCGGCGCUCUUUGCCACUCGGCCACGAGCAGCAUCCUCGUCAAGGCAAAC